rnacentral:rRNA from 1 species
UACGAAGGGGGCUAGCGUUGCUCGGAAUCACUGGGCGUAAAGGGUGCGUAGGCGGGUCUUUUAAGUCAGGGGUGGAAUCCUGGAGCUCAACUCCAGAACUGCCUUUGAUACUGAAGAUCUUGAGUUCGGGAGAGGUGAGUGGAACUGCGAGUGUAGAGGUGAAAUUCGUAGAUAUUAGGAAGAACACCGGUGGCGAAGGCGGUCUGCUGGGGUCGAACUGACGCUGAGGCGCGACAGCGUGGG